CCAGUGACGUCAUUUGAGUGCCCUGUUUUACUUUAUGACGUAAUCCUGUUUCAGAUUACGUCACGAUGAAGUUCGCGGUAUUGCUCCUCGCUUUAUGUGUAGCCGCGAUGGCUCAACGUGAAACCAGCCACCUAUUUCAGUAACUGUUGACGAGCUGAUCUGGCUGGAGGUGGGUAACAUCAUCCGAGCAGACCCUCGCCUCACUGUGUCCGAAUGCAAGAGCAGCUGUGAUGCCCACUUUGCCCUCAGCGACCUUCUGGAUGAGUCCAUAACCGACCGCCUCUGCCUUCAGGAGUGCGAGCUGGCUGUAUCCGGUCACCAGGACCACUAUAGGCCCCCAGGACAACGUGGAGACAGGGAUCGUGACUAAACAGAUCGACUUUUGGCAACCUUAUACAAUGAUGUGGUUAAUAACGUAUUUGAUAGGAAACUAUCAAUCGUAUAUCAAAAAUAGACAAAGAUAUAGAAUGAAAAUAAAACAGUGUUGUCACUGUUU